AGGAGGGAAUCGAAGCCACUGAGGGGGAGGGAGGGGAGGUCCGGAAAGACAGGCAAGAGACUCUGCUGAAAGUCAAGAUGUCUGAGCCGAAGACUCCUUAGAGAUCUGCUAGUCCAGAGAGACAAAUCGGCAGCCCUUUGCUUUUGUUUUGCUUCUCAGUCUGCACAGUUAAAAAAAAAAAAA